AUUGAACGCUGGCGGCAGGCCUAACACAUGCAAGUCGAGCGGAUGAAGGGAGCUUGCUCCUGGAUUCAGCGGCGGACGGGUGAGUAAUGCCUAGGAAUCUGCCUGGUAGUGGGGGAUAACGUCCGGAAACGGGCGCUAAUACCGCAUACGUCCUGAGGGAGAAAGUGGGGGAUCUUCGGACCUCACGCUAUCAGAUGAGCCUAGGUCGGAUUAGCUAGUUGGUGGGGUAAAGGCCUACCAAGGCGACGAUCCGUAACUGGUCUGAGAGGAUGAUCAGUCACACUGGAACUGAGACACGGUCCAGACUCCUACGGGAGGCAGCAGUGGGGAAUAUUGGACAAUGGGCGAAAGCCUGGUCCAGCCAUGCCGCGUGUGUGAAGAAGGUCUUCGGAUUGUAAAGCACGUUAAGUUGGGAGGAAGGGCAGUAAGUUAAUACCUUGCUGUUUUGACGUUACCAACAGAAUAAGCACCGGCUAACUUCGUG
rnacentral:rRNA from 1 species